rnacentral:rRNA from 1 species
UUAUAAAUUUUAUUUGUUUAUUUUAGUUAUAAAUUGUUUUAAUUACAUAGUUGGAAUAAAGUUUAUAUUAAAAUUUUGGUUUUUCUUACCUUUUGUAUAAUGGUUAAAUUAAAAUUUAAUUAUUUAAUUAUUCCCGAAUUGAGAAGAGCUAAUCAUUAACUUUUAUUAGAAUUAUUUAACUUAUGUGGAAAUAUGGGUUUUAGAUUAAUGAUUAGGGGUGAAAUUUCUUCAAUUCUCAGGAUAUCUGGAAAUUUGAGAAAAGCAUUUAGUGCUGUAAAGUUAGGUUUAAAGUGUUUAGAUUUUAAAUCUGUAAGUAUUAGAAAUUACAAUUAAGUUUUUUAGGUUUAAAACCCACAAUUUUUUAAUUACUAUAAAUUUAUUUUUCUUAAUAAUCUUAAAAAUAUCAAAUUUUUUUUCAUAAUUAGUUGAAAAAAUAAUAAUGUUUAAAUUAGUAAUAAUGUAGUUAAGUUUUGUAUUAAUUAAUUUUUUUAUUAUUUAAUAUGUAUUAAAUACUUUUAAGGAAUUCGGCAAAUAGGGGCUUGGACUGUUUAACAAAAACAUAGCCACAUGAAGAUAUUUGUGGUUUAACCUGCCCGAUGUAGUUUUCAACUAUCAAUGGCCGCGGUACCCUGACCGUGCUAAGGUAGCGUAAUCAGUUGGCUUUUAAAUGGAGUCAGGUAUGAAUGGGAUAACUGGGCUUAGCUGUCUCAGGAGUAUUUAAUUGAAUUUACUGUUUAAGUGAAAAAGCUUAAAUUAAGGAAAAGGGACGAGAAGACCCUUAGAAUUUUAUUUAAAGUAAGAUUGUUCUUACUAUAAUUUUGUUGGGGCGACAGAGAAAUAAUUACAACUUUCUUUAAAAUUAAUAAGUCGGAAUUUUCAGGAUAAGAAAAAUUACCUAAGGGAUAACAGCAUAAUUCUAUAAUUGAGUUUGUGACCUCGAUGUUGGAUUAGGAAGCUAACAGGUUAGCUGCUUGUUGUGCGGAUUCUGUUCGAAUUUUAACUCCU